rnacentral:rRNA from 1 species
GAUGAACGCUGGCGGCGUGCUUAACACAUGCAAGUCGAACGGAAAGGCCCAAGCUUGCUUGGGUACUCGAGUGGCGAACGGGUGAGUAACACGUGGGUGAUCUGCCCUGCACUUCGGGAUAAGCCUGGGAAACUGGGUCUAAUACCGGAUAGGACGAUGGUUUGGAUGCCAUUGUGGAAAGUUUUUUCGGUGUGGGAUGAGCUCGCGGCCUAUCAGCUUGUUGGUGGGGUAAUGGCCUACCAAGGCGUCGACGGGUAGCCGGCCUGAGAGGGUGUACGGCCACAUUGGGACUGAGAUACGGCCCAGACUCCUACGGGGGGCAGCAGUGGGGAAUAUUGCACAAUGGGCGCCAGCCUGAUGCAGCGACGCCGCGUGGGGGAUGACGGCCUUCGGGUUGUAAACUCCUUUCGCUAGGGACGAAGCGUUUUUGUGACGGUACCUGGAGAAGAAGCACCGGCUAACUACGUG